UGAAACAAGUCCUUCUUAAAAGCCUCUGGGCCCAACCAAGAGGAAGGGAAGAAUACUGUUUCACUAGAGACUCUCAGGGGCCAGCGGAACGGUCGGUGUAGGGGUGAAAUCCGAUGAUAUCGACCGGAACGCCGAAGGCGAAGGCAGCUGGCUAGGAGAGUUCUGACGCUGAUCUCGCGAAAGCUAGGGGCGCGAACCGGAUUAGAUACCCGGGUAGUCCUAGCUGUAAACGAUGGAUGCUAACUUUGGGGAGCUUCGACCCUCUCUGAGGUAAAGCUAACGCGUCAAGCAUCCCGCCUGGGGAGUACGGUCGCAAGGCCGAAACUCAAAGGAAUAGGCGGAAGCCUGAACAAGCAGUGGUCCAUGUUGCUUAAUUCGAGAGUGAACGAAACAUCUUACCCAGGCUUGACAUCCAACCGUCAAGUCCCGCUGAAAGGCGUGAUGAGCCUACUUUGUAGGCAGGUUGGACAGGUGCUGCAUGGCCGUCGUCAGCUCGUGGUGUGAGCCGUAACCUUAAGUGGCACAACGAGCGCAACCCCUGUCCCGUGUUACACGUGUCACGGGAGACUGCCGAGUACGACUCGGAGGAAGGUGGGGAUGACGUCAGGUCUGCAUGGCCCUUAUGCCUGGGGCGGCAAACAUGGAACAAUGGCAGGGACAAAGGGAAGCAAUGGCGCGAGCCGGAGCAAAUCCCUAAAACCUGCUUCAGUUCGGAUUGAAGGCUGAAACUCGCCUUCAUGAAGGUGGAAUUGCUAGUAAUCGCGGGUCAGCUAUACCGCGGUGAAUACGUUCUCGGGCUUUGCACUCACUGCCCGUCAGGUCAGGAGAGCUGUCUUUACCUGAAGUCCUGCUGA
rnacentral:rRNA from 1 species